rnacentral:rRNA from 1 species
UACGGAGGAUCCGAGCGUUAUCCGGAAUUAUUGGGUUUAAAGGGUGCGUAGGCGGCCAUUUAAGUCAGCGGUGAAAUUUUGCAGCUUAACUGUAACAGUGCCGUUGAUACUGUUUGGCUAGGAUUUGGUUGUAGUGUGCGGAAUGUGUGGUGUAGCGGUGAAAUGCUUAGAUAUCACACAGAACACCGAUUGCGAAGGCAGCACACUAAGUCAUUAUUGACGCUGAGGCACGAAAGUGUGGGGAGUCAAACAGGAUUAGA